rnacentral:rRNA from 1 species
AACGUACGCUGGCGGCACGCCUAACACAUGCAAGUCGAACGAAGUAGCAAUACUUAGUGGCAGACGGGUGAGUAACAUGUAGGUAUCUACCCUUUGGCCUGGAAUAACACGAGGAAACUUGUGCUAAUACCGGAUAAGUCUUUACGGAGAAAGCUUUAUGCACCAUUGGAUGAGCCUGCACUUGAUUAGUUUGUUGGUGGGGUAAUGGCCUACCAAGACUGUGAUCAAUAGCUGAUUUGAGAGGAUGAUCAGCCACAUUGGGACUGAGACACGGCCCAAACUCCUACGGGAGGCAGCAGUGGGGAAUCUUGCACAAUGGAGGAAACUCUGAUGCAGCGAUGCCGCGUGAGUGAAGAAGGCCUUUGGGUUGUAAAGCUCUUUCGUCGGGGAAGAAAAUGACUGUACCCGAAUAAGAAGGUCCGGCUAACUUCGUGCCAGCAGCCGCGGUAAUACGAAGGGACCUAGCGUAGUUCGGAAUUACUGGGCUUAAAGAGUUCGUAGGUGGUUGAAAAAGUUAGUGGUGAAAUCCCAGAGCUUAACUCUGGAACUGCCAUUAAAACUUUUCAGCUAGAGUAUGAUAGAGGAAAGCAGAAUUUCUAGUGUAGAGGUGAAAUUCGUAGAUAUUAGAAAGAAUACCAAUUGCGAAGGCAGCUUUCUGGAUCAUUACUGACACUGAG